UCCCUGGUGGCUCAGAUGGUAAAGCAUCUGCCUGCAAUGCAGGAGACCCAGGAUCGAUCCCUGGGUUGGGAA
rnacentral:tRNA from 1 species